GUUAAACACAUGAGCCUGUGGGGAGCAUUUCAGAUCCAAUUCAUAAUGGUAGCACAUUUAAACUACAAAUACAUGGAUACACAUGCACAGGACUAUACUUAUACUUUAUUUUCCAGGUCUCUCUUACUCUAAUGUCUGAGGCAUCAGGAGUACUCAACACAUGGUUAUUGAGUGAAGAAAGUAGAUUUAAACAACUUUUCUCGUGAAUUAAUAUACAAUAUUCUAUUUAACAUGUUAUACUGUGUUACAUCAUAUGAAAUUAGAACCUGGAUUGGAUUGUUUCUGGGUCCUUUCUAGUCAACUUUCUAUAGCUUCAUGAGUCUUUUCUUCAUUUGCUAGGAAUGGAAACUCACUCCUUUCUUCCUUGAUUGUUACCUCUGCAGGAUGCAUACAAAGGUUGCUGGGCAACAGGUCCCUUGGAUGUCUCAGGUUAUUUGUGGAUCCUGAUGCUUGAUGACAGAAAUGGAGGUGGAUGUUGAUGGAAGGGACAUCUCACAGCUUCUGGUUCUUUGGUUUCAUGCCAACUUCAGGGAUGCCUUGAUGAGGAAAAUGAGGCUGUGAAGGUUAUAUCAAGUUCACACACAAAGCUGUUGAACAGAAACAAGGGCAAGGGGAUGCUGGAAGCAAGGGAUAAGCCAAGUGUCGAAGCAUCCUCAGGGAUUUGGAAUGAGAGGGGCCACCGAGGUGUCCGCCAUUUUCUCUGAUUCUGGAUUGGAGUGUUUAUUGCAGUUCUCUGGUGUCCUUUAAGAGCACCAGGAGCAGGCCGUUUUACUUUCUAGAUCUGCAGACCGAGGGUGGAAGUAAGAACUUUUUCAUUCUUCUUUGAGGUUUCAAAAGCCAACACCAUUCCCACUUAGUGCUCUCUGCCUCCUGUUUGUGGUUGGAGAUGUCAGCUCUCAGCUGUUCCUGCUACAAUGCCUUUGUUCCUCCAUGAUGGACUCCAACCCUCUGAAACUAUUUUCCAGUCUGAAUUCUCUGCUUCAGUUGUUCUUAUCCCAAUUUGCCUCACAGAAGCCUUCGUGCAUGCUGUGCUUUAUCCCUGUUUUGCAGUUAAACCCCUUAUUCCUGUGUCAGUUCUUGGAAGAACAAGUCAUGUUUGGGAAUUAUCUACAUGUUUUCUGGUGAUCACCUGUGUUAGUUAUUCAGCUGUGCCCAAAUGCAAAGAAACCUGGCAACAAAACUCCCAAACCAAAGCAACCAACCAAACAAAACAUCCUGAAAAAAUAAACUUGAAGGAAGAAAGA